rnacentral:rRNA from 1 species
AACGCGAAGAACCUUACCUACCCUUGACAUCCAGAGAAUCCUGCAGAGAUGCGGGAGUGCCGAAAGGAACUCUGAGACAGGUGCUGCAUGGCUGUCGUCAGCUCGUGUUGUGAGAUGUUGGGUUAAGUCCCGUAACGAGCGCAACCCUUGUACUUAGUUGCCAACGCGUAAUGGCGGGAACUCUAAGUAGACUGCCGGUGACGAACCGGAGGAAGGCGGGGACGACGUCAAGUCAUCAUGGCCUUUAUGGGUAGGGCCACACACGUGCUACAAUGGUCGGUACAAAGGGCAGCCAAAGCGCGAGCUGGAGCCAAUCCCAGAAAGCCGAUCGUAGUCCGGAUUGAAGUCUGCAACUCGACUUCAUGAAGUCGGAAUCGCUAGUAAUCGCGAAUCAGAAUGUCGCGGUGAAUACGUUCCCGGGCCUGUACACACCGACGUAUA